rnacentral:rRNA from 1 species
AUUGAACGCUGGCGGCAGGCCUAACACAUGCACGUCGAGCGGAGCGGCGGACGGGUGAGUAAUGCCUCGGAAUCGGCCUGGUAGUGGGGGAUAACGUCCGGAAACGGGCGCUAAUACCGCAUCCUAUCAGAUGAGCCUAGGUCGGAUUAGCUAGUUGGUGGGGUAAAGGCCUACCAAGGCGACGAUCCGUAACUGGUCUGAGAGGAUGACCAGCCACACUGAAACUGAGACCCGGUCCCGACUCCUACGGGAGGCAGAAGUGGGGAAUAUUGCACAAUGGGCGGAAGCCUGAUGCAGCCAUGCGGCGUGUAUGAAGAAGGCCGUAGGGUUGUAAAGUACGGUCAGCGGGGAGGCGUUACCCGCAGAAGAAGCACCGGCUAACUCCGUGCCAGCAGCCGCGGUAAUAC